GAUUAAGUUAUUAAGGGCGCACGGUGGAUGCCUUGGCACUAGAAGCCGACGAAGGACGUUACUAACGACGAUAUGCUUUGGGUAGCUGUAAGUAAGCGUUGAUCCAGAGAUUUCCGAAUGGGGGAACCCAGCACGAGUUAUGUCGUGUUAUCGACAAGUGAAUUCAUAGCUUGUCAGAAGGCAGACCCGGAGAACUGAAACAUCUUAGUACCCGGAGGAAGAGAAAGAAAAAUCGAUUCCCUGAGUAGCGGCGAGCGAAACGGGAAGAGCCCAAACCAAUAAGCUUGCUUAUUGGGGUUGUAGGACACUCUAUACGGAGUUACAAAGGAAUAUAUUAGACGAAUCAUCUGGAAAGUUGAAUCAAAGAAGGUAAUAAUCCUGUAGUUGAAAAUAUAUUCUCUCUUGAGUGGAUCCUGAGUACGACGGAGCACGUGAAAUUCCGUCGGAAUCUGGGAGGACCAUCUCCUAAGGCUAAAUACUCUCUAGUGACCGAUAGUGAACCAGUACCGUGAGGGAAAGGUGAAAAGUACCCCGGAAGGGGAGUGAAAGAGAACUUGAAACCGUGUGCUUACAAGUAGUCAGAGCCCGUUAAUGGGUGAUGGCGUGCCUUUUGUAGAAUGAACCGGCGAGUUACGAUCUGAUGCAAGGUUAAGCAGGAAAUGUGGAGCCGUAGCGAAAGCGAGUCUGAAUAGGGCGUUGAGUAUUUGGUCGUAGACCCGAAACCAGGUGAUCUACCCAUGGUCAGGUUGAAGUUCAGGUAACACUGAAUGGAGGACCGAACCGACUUACGUUGAAAAGUGAGCGGAUGAACUGUGGGUAGCGGAGAAAUUCCAAUCGAACUUGGAGAUAGCUGGUUCUCUCCGAAAUAGCUUUAGGGCUAGCCUCAAGUGAUGAUUAUUGGAGGUAGAGCACUGUUUGGACGAGGGGCCCCUCUCGGGUUACCGAAUUCAGACAAACUCCGAAUGCCAAUUAAUUUAACUUGGGAGUCAGAA
rnacentral:rRNA from 1 species